CACGUAGGCGGACUGGAAAGUUGGAGGUGAAAUCCCAGGGCUCAACCUUGGAACUGCCUUCAAAACUAUCAGUCUGGAGUUCGAGAGAGGUGAGUGGAAUUCCGAGUGUAGAGGUGAAAUUCGUAGAUAUUCGGAGGAGCACCAGUGGCGAAGGCGGCUCACUGGCUCGAUACUGACGCUGAGGUGCGAAAGUGUGGGGAGCGAACA
rnacentral:rRNA from 1 species